rnacentral:lncRNA from 1 species
UAAAGAAGGUAAAUAGUGUCAUGGACGUUUAUCAUAACAGUAACACGGGUAAUACUAGCAGUUAUAACGAUAGAAAUAGUAACAUUAGUAGUGGCAAUAAUUAUGACAGUAGAAAUAAUAUUGGUAGUUCCAACAGUUAUAACAGCAACAUUAGCAACAAUAGUAGACAUUAUCUACUCUCUGUCACUAAUUCGAACAAAGUUGACAACAAAAAAGACGAAUAUGAAGUAAUAAGAAUAAAAGUAAGAAGCUUAAAAGAUAAAGGGUACAUGAGAUUAUAUCCAAAAAAUGUAAAAAAUGAAUUGAAAUUAUUUUUUUUUGGUGAACAUUUAAUUAAGAAUUCAGAUGAAGUUGUAUUAACAGAAGGAGAAAUUGAUGCUAUGAGUGUUUACCAAGAAACUGGCUAUUCAGCUAUUUCAUUACCUAACGGUUCGAAAUCUUUACCUGUUUAUUUAUUACCAUACUUAGAACAUUUUAAAAAGAUACAUUUGUGGUUAGAUUUUGAUAAAGCCGGUAAAUCUAGUGUUUAUAAUUUUGUAAAUAAAAUAGGACUGGGGCGUACUAAUGUAAUAACAGAUACAAAUGUGCACUACUUGAAUAUAGACGUUUUUAAUGACAGGAAAAAAAAAAGAAAAGACAUAAAAAAGAUAAUAUCAAAACGAGAUACGUUAGGUUCAUCUGUAACUAGUGAUAAUAAUGUUAGUGUACAAAAAGAGGACGGAGAUGACAUUAAAACAAGUCGUACAGAUUGUGUUGACAGUAUAUCAUGUAAUGACAUAGCAAAUGAAGUUACAGAUGUGAACAGUGCCAAUUUAAGCAAAAGUGAAAAUGUGAAAACAAAGGAAUUGGACAAAGAACAAGAAGAGUGUUACUAUUUUAUCGAUAAAAAUAUUUUGUACGUACCUAACAACAUUGUGAUAAAAGAUGCAAAUGAUUGUUUAAAGUAUAAUAUUGAUGUAAAUUUUUUUAUAAAGAAUAGUGAAAAAGUAAGGCAUAGUCAAAUUUUAAAUUUUCAUGAUUUGAGACAAAAUAUUUUAGAAGAACUUAAAUACCCUGAUCGAAUAAAUGGUGUU